CGAGGAUACAGGUGUCCUUUCAGUAAAUCUUCUCGACGCUGCUUUGAAUUUAUCUCGAAACUUGAAGCAAGCCGUUCGGAGCGAUUGCUCACACUACCGCGGGAGGGGGAGGCGUAGUCAAGGCUCCUCUCUGCAGUAGGGGAUUUAUCCGUGACGGUGUAGGUGUGUGGUGCUCUCCUUGGUGCUGUUGCUUCUGCUACAUGUCUGGAAGCUUCCAGGCCUCCGCAAGUCCCUCGGUGCCACAACAGGAAUUCACCGUCGCUCCUCACUCACUCAGGGUCUGUGCAGAUCCCGCAGGCCAGCAGCAGCAGCAGCAGCAGCAGAUUCCCCAUCAUCCUGCCCCGGUGCCCGCGGCGGAGCCGCCAGCCGCCCCUGGGAGCCUCCGUAGAAGACCGAAUCAUCUUUGCAUGGACGUCUAAGUCGUUUCUUCUCUAUAUCACCCGAUUUUAACAAUUGUGCACGUCCAGUAUCGACGUGUUUAUAAGAGGGAGAAUGAAGCCCGAAAGAUGCGAACAAACAGUCGUGGCUAAAUUUAGUGUGGGAUCAACAGCAGUGCAGAGGUACAGCGUCGGGCUGUGGCAAAAACAUCGACACGCAAGGAAGCGCCGAGAGCUGGUCCUGAGGCAGGGCUCAGGCCACUUGUUUGUGCAGUAUUGCUCUGUGGACGAGUGAGUCACUCGCGUCAUUGUCCGCACAAGUUCCUGUCUGCCGAUGUUGUUUUCAAGAGAUUUUGAAGCGUGAAUAAGUGCAGAGGAAUUUGAGAAAGCUUUGAUUCAACUGAACAGUUGUAACAAAAAGGAGAAAGAAGGAGCUCCACGAUUAACAAAAUAAAUGAAAAAUCUACAAUAUCUAUAUAUUAAAAAAGAAGAAGAAAGGUAUUAGCGUCAGAUUAUUGACCUACGUAAUUGGUAAAAAUCUUGUUUGGCGACGGUAAAUGCGAACAAACCCAAAUCGGUUUAAAUGUACUUCAAAAUAAAAAGACC